AUGGCGCCGCCGACCAUCCAAAAAUUCAAAGAUGGCGUCGGCAUUUACUUAUUAUGCUCUCUUCUAAUAGUGGUACCUUGGUAUUCAGGUUGUAAAAUCCUGAUAGGAAAGUCGGUCGGACAAGUGGGUAAUGUUGGGGUGAACCUAAAAAGUUUGGGUAAAGCCGGAUCUAAGUGUUGGCUAGGUAAACGCCCCAUAGUAAGAGGGGCAGUUAUGAACCCUGUGGACCACCCCUACCUUUACGUGGUGGAAGUCAUCAGUUCGAGCCUGAUUAUCCCUAAACCCAAUGUGAGUUUUUUCUAUUUUGACUUACUCCCCCGCCACGAGCGAACGGGAAUGGAUAAGAGGCUUGUGGGAUUGAUGUGA
rnacentral:rRNA from 1 species